rfam:Oryza sativa Japonica Group DNA, chromosome 6, cultivar: Nipponbare, complete sequence.
AAAAAAAACAAACUCUGGUUUCCGUGUCCAACGUUUGACCGUUCGUCUUAUUUGAAAAAAAUAUAAAAAAAAUUAAGAAGAUAAGUCACGCAUAAAAUAUUAAUCAUGUUUUAUCAUCUAACAAAUAUGAAAAUACUAAUUAUAAAAAAAAUUCAUAUAAGACGAAUAGUCAAACGUCAGUACGGAAACUCAGGGUUUGCCUUUUU